rnacentral:rRNA from 1 species
AGAGUUUGAUCAUGGCUCAGGACGAACGCUGGCGGCAUGCCUAACACAUGCAAGUCGAACGGUAAGGCCCUCUUCGGAGGGUACACGAGUGGCGAACGGGUGAGUAACACGUGGGUAACCUGCCCUUCACUGGGGGACAACCGAGGGAAACUUCGGCUAAUACCGCAUAAUGUGCAACCUCAUAAGGGGAUGUACCAAAACUCCGGUGGUGAAGGAUGGGCCCGCGGCAGAUUAGCUAGUUGGUGGGGUAAAGGCCUACCAAGGCGACGAUCUGUAGCUGGUCUGAGAGGACGAUCAGCCACACUGGGACUGAGACACGGCCCAGACUCCUACGGGAGGCAGCAGUGGGGAAUCUUGCGCAAUGGGCGAAAGCCUGACGCAGCAAUGCCGCGUGAGGGAAGAAGGUCUUAGGAUUGUAAACCUCUUUCAGCAGGGACGAAAACAGACGGUACCUGCAGAAGAAGCCCCGGCUAACUACGUGCCAGCAGCCGCGGUAAUACGUAGGGGGCGAGCGUUGUCCGGAAUCAUUGGGCGUAAAGAGCGUGUAGGUGGACUGAAAGGUCUGGUGUGAAAGCCCGGGGCUCAACCCCGGAGGGUCACUGGAAACCAUCAGUCUUGAGUCCGGAAGAGGAGAGUGGAAUUCCUGGUGUAGCGGUGGAAUGCGCAGAUAUCAGGAGGAACACCAAUGGCGAAGGCAGCUCUCUGGUACGUGACUGACACUGAGACGCGAAAGCAUGGGGAGCGAACAGGAUUAGAUACCCUGGUAGUCCAUGCCGUAAACGAU